rnacentral:tRNA from 1 species
AGGAUAAAAGUUAUUAAUAAUAUCUAAUUUGCACUUAGAAGACGCUAUAUAUUAGCUUAUCUUA